GGCUGGCAGCUACCACUCUGAUUCAACCCCUAGCCUGGGAACUUCCAUAUGCUGUGAGUGCGGCCCUAAAAAUACAAGGAAAAAAAAAUAGGAAACUGGGGACCUUGGCACAGGCUGGGGCUGGCUUCAGGGGUCACUGUCCUAGGUUGGGCCUCCCCAGGACACACAAUGGAAGAUGGGGGCCAUGUGGAGCAGUGCUGAGGGUAGGUCACAUUUCUAACUCCUAUCUCUUUGGAGUUAUGAGUUGGGCAGAUUUUAUCUUGCUUGUUUUGACCUUCCAUGAGGCAACAGCAGGAGGAGGGGGAGAGAACAGAACAACAAGUGUGCUGGUUGUUCUUUUGACCCAUUUAGCAACUUCCUGUAUUUUUUUAGCAAGGACAGGUAUAACAUCUUAUGCUCUGAGGUGCCCAGUCCCUAACGUAUGCCAUGGCCUCGAGGUCAUCUAGAAGUUGACCCUGGUUUAGCCCAGUUAAAGGCAGAUUCAUUGACUGUGGCUGUUAAAUAUGCCUCUUUGGUUGGGUCUUUCCAUUCAUCUGGCCAGUCAUUUAGCAGAUAAUUUGGGGCACCUACUUUGUGCCUCAUAUAGUGAGGGGCCUUUGGGUUCACAUCUUCUUCACACUUUGCUCCUUUCACCUUUAUCCUUCAGCAAGGACCACAUUUUACCAAUGAUGACAUGGCACCAUGGGGAGAAAACCACAGACUUAUCUGCCCUCUGAGUGAAGCGUGUGGCAAAUUCAGAUGCAUCUGCUCUGGAGUAUUUUCCUCAAGCAUUUCUGGGUGUUUUCCAAACUUAGCAAUCCCCUAAAGGAUGGAGGAGGAGGCAGGUAGGGGAGCUUUCCAGGGAGAGGAACAGCAUGGGCAAAGGCUGUGAAGGGAACCAGGACCCUCCAAAAACCCAAGGGAAGGCAGUGUGACAAGGAAGGAAAGGUGAAUUUGCAGGUUGGGCUCUUACUGGGCAAGUGGGGCCUCUCUGUGAGCCUCUUCUUCUUCUUCCUUUUUUUUUUUGGCUUUUUACGGCCGCGCCUGUGGCAUAUGGAGGUUCCCAGGCUAUAGGGGUUGUGAGCCUCUUCUUGAUCCCCUCACUUCACCUAUGACACCCCUUUCUUUUCUCAGCUCUCCUUCAAGUAUUAGGCUCUGGAAGGCCUUCCCUGAGUGCAGGGAGGUAGUCAGGCCCUCUGCUAAAUGCCCUCUUUAUCCUUCCUCUCCAGACCCUAGUGUCUCCUCUGGAGGAGCUUUGCCCUUCAGGGACUGGAGCUUGUCAGCUUUCUGUGGCCUUGAGCUGGGGUAGACCCUCUGUCCUCCUGCCCGAGGGUCAAGUCUUAGCCUGGAACUGUCCUAGAAGGUAUGGCAGGAGCUGCCAGGCAUGUGCCCAGGGUCUGCUCUGUACCUGAGGAUAAGCCCUGCUCCAGGAGCUCUGGGGGUUGCAGGGCCUCUGGCUGACAGGGGAUGUGAUAGGACUGCAGACAUGCCAUCAACCCACAACCCUGUAUCCUGGGAACAGCCUGGCCUUAUGGCUCUGUGCCCUCUUUGACCACCCAACAUUGUCAUUACCUAGAACCAUUGAACCUCUGCUCUAAAACAAUUCUAGAAUCCCCACUCUCUGAUUCCAGACUUCUUUACAGAGUUUUCAUUCACAGCUUCCAUCACCCCCGUCCUCAGCCUCAUAGAGUUCCCCAGACCCCUGCCCCAGCCCAGCUUCACCUCCCGCUCCUAAAGACCCAGACCUUCUCCUGCACACCAGACACCCUCUUCCCUGAACCUGCCAAGCCCCUGCCCCUCUGUCCUUUCCUACCCCUGACUGGGCUAGGACAGCCUAGCCCCAGUUAAGACCAAACUCCCACUGCCCUCAUCUCCCCUGGAGUGACUACAAACUCCAGGCUUCAUCACAAACGCACUGCAAGCAGCCCAGUUGUCUCCUUUUCUGCUAGAACUGGUGCAAAGCUUUCCCACCGCCCCCCACCCCAUAACCUCUCCACCACACUCCCAGCCAGCAACUGCAAUGCUGCAUCUCUAGGAAAUCAGAGGGCACCUGAUGGGGAGUCCCCGCUGUGGCCAUCAUUGGAGGGGACUAAGGGGUUGGGGGAAGCACCAGCGCUGAGCUCCGCAGGGCUGUGAAGGCCCUGCCACUUCUGGCCUGAGUGUCGUUUUGCCUGCUCUCUGCCUGCUCUGCCCUCUCUGUCUCUCUGUCUCUGUCUCUGUCUCUCCCCCAGGGAUUACUCCCCACUGAAUCUCUUCACUCCUAACUCCAUUUGGCACCUGCUUCCCAGGGAAUCUGAAUUGAUACACUACCUUCCAGGCUCACCAUCUGUGUGUUUUGCUGCUGUGGUUCCACCUGGUCCUUCCUGCACACUUUGUGAGAGGCAGCUAGCUCCUCACCCACCCAUAGCUAGGCCUUCCAGCCAGGCUGUGGACCUCUCUCUUGUUUGUCUCUCUCAGACCCCUCAGUCUCAGGAGCCAGCAUCCCCUCUUCCCAACUUUCCUCUUCUCUCUGUUGCCCUGCACUUGUCCUUGCCAGCUGGCCUUCCUUCACUCAUUAUCACCAGGGCCCUAAGUCACUAAAAUCCUCAGCUGCGUCUCUAUCUUUCCCACCCUGGCCUAUGCUAAGUACUCUCUUCUCCCUGAACCAUCCCCUCUUGUUUUCUGGGCUCCUAUCUGUUCUCUGCCUCUUCUCUCUUUCACUGUGUCUUUGUCUCCUGGCCCAUGGCUGCCCCUCCCUUUGAUGCUGGUGUCCCCAGGCCUGGGAUGUGAUCCUCUUCUCUUCUCAGCCAUCUCUCUCCCUCCAUAGAGAGAUGUUUCUCAAAUAUAGACUUGAAGAUGACUCCAAAUUCCAUUUUUCAAUCAGGACUUUUUCCUGAAAUCCAGAUUCCAAUAUUUAACUGACAAGGGGACUUUUCCAUUUGGCCCUAAUCAUAUGUACCUCAAACCCAGCAAGUCCCAGGAUGAAUUCAUAGUCAUCCAAUAAAGCCAUUCCUUUGGGGUCUUUCACGAGUACCAUCACCAUCCUUCAAGUCACCCAGACCAGAAAUGAGGCUGCCCCCUCAGUCUUCCCUUUCAGGUCACCAGGUACCACCGAUUCUACUACACCCGCUCUCCCAGUCCAUCCGCUCCUCUCCUCAGCACUGCCAUUGAACAUGGCCUUCAGCAUUUCUUAAGUGCACUGCCGAUUCCGUCACUUAACCCCAUACUCUGUAUCUCUUCAUUAUAUUUCUCAUAUUGAUCCUUCUGAAAGUCUUGUAAUUCUGGCUGGGGAAGACUUUCAUUACUCCCAUGGCCUUCCUCCCUGUUGGCAUCACUAUCAAGCUUUCUCCAUGUGCUAACUAAAAUUCCUCUGGAUCUGGCCUUGCCUUCCCCUGUGGGCUUCUCUUGAUCCUGAGCGCUAGCUGAACUGAAUCACUUAUAGCUCACAAUGCAUCCUGGAAUCUCAUACCUCAGGGCCUUUGAACCUGCCUCCUUCUUCCUAGAGCAGUCUCCCCCAUUCCUCACCUGGCUAACUCCUACCCAUCCGUCAAAGCUCAGAUCAAGGCUGUAGUCCUCGAGAGGCUUAGCAAGGGUGUUUCCUCUUCUGCUCUUCCCCAGCACCCUCUGCAGAGCUCUGCCUACAAGGGAGCUGAUUGCCCCAGUUCUGUUUCCCCUAUAAGACGAGAGCUUUUUUGAGAGUCCGGCUCAUUUCUGCAUCCCCAGCACCUAGCACAGAAUCUGUCACAUAGCACUUAAGAAAUAUUAGUAGUGAAGGACUGAGUGAGCAAACAAAUGGAGUGGGGGUGCUCAUUACAGAGAUAAUAUUUGAGACGGCCUGUUGUCUAACAUUUACCAGCACACCGCAGGGCACAGGACCUGACUCUUUGGAAGGAUUCCCAGAAGAAGGAGAGAAUUAUUGGUGGAAAGAUGCUCCUAUUGAUGUAGAGAGAAGAGCGGCUGGAAGACCUGAUGCUACGUCCCGCUGAAGCAGAACAGCAGAAGCAGCUGGGGCCCCUGCUCCCAGGAGCUGUGCCAUCAACCUUCCCACCCCCACACUCACACUGACCCUGGGAGGAGCCUCAGGAAAACCUGGGGUGGGAGCUGCGAGGAGUGAGGCAGGCUGAGGGGAGCUUCCUGGUGGUGACCGUGGGCUGCUGGAAAGACAGGGGAGCUGUGCACACAGCCUGCAUCAUCAGAGGGCUCGCAGUGAAGGAGAGCCCAGAGCAAGCAGGAGAAAUGGGAGGGGAGGAGCUAGAAAAGGCCCCAACUGGAGCGACACAACCAAAGCUCCUAUCACAGAAUCCAAGAGCUGAAAACUUUCGGAUUUGUUUUUGGCCACUUCAGGGACAGAGAAGAGAAGCUCAGAGGAAACCCAGCAUCCACAGCACCGUGGGACCUGCACUAUUGUAGAACCCCAGCACCCCUGUGACAGAGACAGUGCAAAGACUGUGGCAGAAGCCCCGCCUGGUCUCCCUCGUCUAUGAGGCCGUGAAUUCUUGCCCUUUGAGCAGAGACUGUGUGCCAGGAACUGAAGAAACAGACUCCAUUUAAAGGCCAGCAGAUUUGUAAAUUGGAGGAAAGAUGCAACCAAAAAAGGAAGACUCCAGGUAGAGAUGAUGCUACCUGCAGCUAGUGCUCCUGGAUUUGCUGUUAUCCCUAAAGUCCUGCCUGACCUGGGUGCAGUCAAGACCAGGAAUGGUAUGAAAUCAGGUGCAUGCAUGCGCACAUCUGGAUUGAGAGGGAGGCACUGUUAUCAGAUUACUCUUCUUUAUGGGGAUGAUAUAACUGAACUCUCUCCGUCAGAUUUUCACAGUGAAGCAUAUGACACAAAAAAGAAUCGGGUCAGGGCAGAGCGAACAGCAUGGCAGCCAGUGAAGAAGGGAGAUAAGUAAUUAGGUUCACAGGUAGACACAUAUCCUGAGACAUACACUCGGCUCUUUCAUUCAUUUAGUCCACCAGCAUUUCUCAAAGGAUUGCUACCUACUGCCCCCUUCCUGGGUGCUGGGGAUACAGUGUUGAGUAAGACCAAGUCCCUGCCCUGGACGGUACUUAACAUGGAGCUGGAGUGAUCAGACGUGUAAAUAAAUUAUUACAGAAUUCUUUGUCUGAGCUACCUUCAGACCAUGACAAAUACCAGCUCCCACCGAAAGUUCUAGAAUGGGCUCCCUUUUGUCCUUUAUCAAACAUAUUCUUUUUCUUCAUCUACACCCUAUUUGACUUAACUUCUCCAUAAAGAUUUUCGAGAUUUCAUAGCUUAUCAGAAGCUUUUUUUCCUUUCCAAAGCAAUUACACUCAUUUAUUCAUUCAUUCACAUGCUGCAGACCUCCUAUGUAUCUAAAUGUUCUGUUGCUUUUAUUUACCAAAUAAUGGAAGUGAUCAAGUCUUCUAUUUCAUGUUACCCCCUGGGGCUUAGAAAUAAUAAUGCACCUGCAGAUGCUAACCUAAGAGCAGAAUCUGAUCUCUUUGGUAAGUCAUGCCCCUUCCUCUGAGGAAAGCCCUAAAACGAACAUGAUACACUGGACUUCGUUGAGUAUUAGUUUUCAUUAAAAUCUGGCCCAAGAUUAUAAACAAAGGAAUAAAAAAAAGAAUUUCAUAAACAAUAUCCUAUUUUCUCUCCUACCUUUGCAUGGACACAGACCUAGCCAAUUAAAUAGCUUCAUAAAUUCUAUAGGAUAAUUGCAGACUGAGUAAAAUAGUUUCAGAUAUGAGUAUGUAUGCACUGUACAGUGUUAAAAAAGGAUAUUUAGUAUAGAGUAAGAAGAAACAAAUCAUAAGGGGUCAAAAAACAUGAUUCCCUAAAAGUGAUUAUAGAUCAUAGAUUUUGGGUUGAGAACAAAGCCUUACUGGGUUGAACAAAAAAUCCAGGUAAGACUACACAUCAUGCUUUGAGGGAAAAAAGUCCUCUCUUUCUUUUUCUAAAAUGAUCCCUUCAUAAAGAAUUGCCAAAUGCAUCAUUAUUAUUGACUUAAGGGGAACCUUGGAAGGUUUUGAAGAUUCUCACAAUGUGAUAGUAAUCUUUGUAACACACACGAAGGUAGUUAUAUGUGUUAGCUGUAUGGGAACAUGGCACCCAGUGGACAAUGAAUAAGCAGCCUUUCGUGGUGGCUAUGUUUUAAAAUAAUAAAAUCGCUUCUCUAUUAAAAGUAUCAAAUAUAUAAGUACAUAUUUAAUAUUUCCUUUCUAGAGCUCAACUUUUAAAAAAUACAAAAUAGAGGAGUUCCUGUCGUGGCUCAGUGGUUAGCAAAUCCAACUAGGAACCAUGAGGUUGCAGGUUCGAUCCCUGGCCUUGCUCAGUGGGUUAAAGAUCCGGUGUUGCCAUGAACUAUGGUGUAGGUCGCAGAUGUGGCUCGGAUCCUGCAUUGCUGUGGCUCUGGCGUAAGCCGGUGGCUACAGCUCCGAUUCGACCCCUAGCCUGGGAACUUCCAUAUGCCGCGGGAGCAGCCCAAGAAAUGGCAGAAAGAUUAAAAAAAAAAAAAAAUAGAGAUAAUUUGUACUUGCUAGCUGUCUCACCCUUUGACUAUGUUGAUGACAAAAAGUUGGAGUGCCUCCAGUGUCCCGAGUCUGGGACUGGAAACUGGUUGAAUGACCAGCAUGUCUCUUCCCCAAAUUCUUCUAAGAGGCACAGUCUGGGAGAGAUGGAUUCUAGUGCUACAAAUCAGGGUGCUCCUCCCUGCAUCACCAUAGACCAGAUUUGCACACAAAUACCUAUCCUUCCUGUAAUAGCCAGGCCAUGCCCUUAGCCCCAUGUGGCAACAAAGCAAUGCAGAUCUGUUACAACAUCCUAGAGUGAAAUCUGAAUGCGGUCAAGGGAGUUCAGAAGCCGUAACAGUGAUGCAAUGCACACCACAGCUGGGGCCCAGCACAAAGUCAGGCCCCUACCCCUUCCGAUAUAAGGCCUUGGCCAUUUGAAAAGCUAAGACCCAAAAGAAACAACUAGAGGGAACGACAGUCUAUUAGAAGAUCUUGCCAGAAGAGACCUGAAUAGAAUGGUUUUUCAUGCCGGACCAGAUGCCACUGAAAUAGUUUGACCAGAUGAAAACAACAGCUUAGAUCAGGCUGCUGAGUCCUCCCCACAGAGCACACACAAAAAUCUUUUGUCACGGGGGUCAGAAGACUCUGGCAGAGGUAAUCUCUCUAGACCAGCUGCCUAAUUCCAGCAAGGCCUGCAUAUGUACCAUUCCAGAAAAACGGGUGUCUAUAGUUAAAGGAGAUGCUAGAGCCUUCUUUUGAAAAAGAGCCCAUUUGAGCACCUGACUCUCGACCCACUGGCUACAGCAAAUAUGCAUUCACUCUGCUUCCAUUUGCUGAAAGGCUUAUUGAAAGGCAUUCAAACCAGAGGAAUUCCCAGCUAAGGAAAGGAAACAGCAGAAUUAUAAUCAAUAAAGGGCAUCUAACAACAACCAAAGACUAAAAGAUUUCCCCUAUCCCAACAAUAAUUAAUUAGAAAGUACAAUGGCAACCAAUAGCAAUUAAAAAUAUAUAAGCAUAAACUCAGGAAUACCUUUUACAAGAAAUGUACGAGAUCUCCAUGGAAACACUUUACUUAGAGAAAAGAGAUCUGAAUAAGUGGAGGCACACACCAAAUCCUGUAUGAAGAGCGCUAAUAUAUCAACAUUGAGCUUUUAAAGGUUAAUUUGUAGUGGAAUUAUUUAAUUUGGAUUUUUUGAAAAUCCCCAAAGACUUUGGGGGAUGGAGAAUUGAAGGACUGACUACAAAAUUCAUCAGGAAAAAUAAACUGGUAAAAAGAGCUAUGGACAUGGUAAAAUUUAAAAAAGGAGGAGGAGGAAAGAAUAGAGAUUUGCUUUACCAGAUCCCAAAGUACAUAAAACCCCAGUGAUUAAAAUGAUGUAUCCUGACACAGAAGAGCAGAUGGAUCAGUGGGACAGAAGAACAAGUCUAGAAUCAGACUGAGCCAUCGGCAAGAACUUAGGAUACGGCAGAGGCAGCAACUUCAAGUAGGGAGAGAAGACUGAUUCCAUAAAGGUGAAGGAUAAACCGGGCCACUAUGUGAUACAUAAGGAGCAAUCUCUUUCAUGCAUAUCCUUCACAUUCUAGAAUCUUUUCAAAAUUAAGAAAAACUCAUCUGUAGAAAACUGGGCAAAGGUUAUUUAACAGGCAGUUCACACAUAUACAUACACAAACUAUCAAAGGUAAGAAAAUUAUUACACUGUGCUAGGAAUAUCAGAAAUGCAAAUUAAAACUAGUUGUGUGGGGUUUAGUUAUCAAUUCAUCAAUGUCUUUAGUUAAAAUAUAAACUUGUGAAGGGACAGGGAAAAUAUGGCCUAUAACCUGCCUGGUCGGCAAUCCAGCAGUCAACAUCAAAAACCAUAGCAAUGUGUGUAUCAUUAAUUCCACAACUAUACAUUUACCCCAGGGAAAUAAUUAUGAUGUUGGACAGAGAUUUAUCUAGAAGGUUGUUUAAGGAAGCAUCGUUUGUAUUAGCAAAAUCCUGGGAAGAACCUAAAAUAGGGAACUAGCCAUAUGAGUUAUGGCACAGCCAGAAGAUUCAAUACUGGACAUCCCCCAACAGUAAUGUUAGAGAGAAAAGAGUUAACGAUAUUGGAAAAAUGUUCAUAAAAUAGCUUGAAAAGAGGCAAAUUAUUUACUAUAUAAUCCCAUACUGACUUUUAAAAAGCAUGUACAAAAGUUUAGGUGGACAUAGAACUUAGCAGGAAUGUUAGUUGUUUUAAGUUAUUUUCCAAAAAACAAUUAGAAAGAUACUUUCAAGGUUCCAUUGAUUUCUUUGGGCUGCCAGAAUUACAGAUGGUUUAAUUUUUCAGUGUGAUUUUCUGUAUUUCUCAAAAUUUUCUACAAAACUAGUAUUUUUAAAGGAGACACUAAAGGUGUUUCCUUAGGAGCCUAGACCCACAAAAUUAGUUAAAAUGCAGAGAAGCACAGGACAGAUGAUAGACUCAUAUCUACAGUAAGACUAAACUGAGCCUCUGCCCUGGGCUUGGUCUCUGUUGGGCUCUGGAUUCCCAGCACCCAGAAGCCAGCAUCUGUGGUGUUCCACGAAUGCUAGUCUCUCGAAUGGAAAAUACUGCUGCCGCCGCCGCCGCCACCACCAUGGCCUCCCACCUCCACCGUUCUAGAGGUCUUUUAUCUUCCCGCCAAUGCCAAGAUUAUUAAAUGGGUGUGUUGAGUAUAAUAUCCUCAUAGUGGAGCCCUAAUGAACAGCAACCAUCCAGAAUCGCUAAAAUGCCCCAGAAAAGGUUUCUGUGUGAAAAAAAGUAACACAAGUAUAAUCAAAUCUGUACUAUUAAAGGAGGUAAAAAAAAAUUCAAUUAUUAGUUCUUUUCCUAAGUUGCUUUUUUUGUGUGUUUGUGUGAGCCAUACCAAUCUUAAUGUGCUAAGGUAAAAAAAUGGCAAAAGUGGAUUAGCAUUUAGCAAAAUGGUAUUCUUUUUUUGUUUGUUUGUUUUAUUUUCUGGCUGCACCCUCUGCAUGUGGAAGUUCCUGGGCCAGGGAUCGAACCAGAGCCAUAGCAGUGACAACACUGGAACCUUUAACUGCUAGGCCACCAGGGAACUCCUAAAGCGGUGUUCUUUUAUAGGAUUCGGCUAGGAAACCAAGGGGGCUCCAAGAGGAGCUGGCCAACUGACCUCCAAACCCUAACAUGUUCAGCAUCUACACUAUAAGGGAGACGAGGUCGAUGACUUGAAUCUCCUCCCCUGAACUGCAGCAACCAACGCUUGGUUAAAUUAGGUAAAUUUGAGUCCUUACUGCCUUCUCUUCUGUUCACAUGCUCUAGAUUAGAGGAAAAAAUUACCAGGACCUUGGAAGACCAAAUUCCAAAAAAGAAAGGACCAUGAGAAAACUAACUAAC